GAAUGUGAGGGUGAUCUUUUACACAGUUGAUCUCCGGUAUUAAUAUGGCGCUCUCAUCUGGCUAAAAGAGUGUCCUUUUCCUCCUUCGUCACACCAUGUAUGUCUUUCAAAGCUGUGUGCUCUAUCAAAAAGGAUGACUUCCCCAGUAGAGGACAGUUUUCAGUCAAGAGAGUACAAGUAGCCAUGUUCCCUACUAGAUCCUCUGGAGCGCUCAUGUUUGUGAGAAACUGCCACGAACCUUC
rnacentral:sRNA from 1 species